UAGUCCACGCUGUAAACGAUGAUCACUUGUUAUUGGCGAUAUACAGUCAGUGACAUAGCGAAAGUGUUAAGUGAUCCACCUGGGGAGUACGAUCGCAAGGUUGAAACUCAAAGGAAUUGACGGGGGCCCGCACAAGCGGUGGAGCAUGUGGUUUAAUUCGAUGAUACGCGAGGAACCUUACCAGGGCUUAAAUGUACUUUGACAGACGUGGAAACAUGUUUUUCUUCGGACAAAAUACAAGGUGCUGCAUGGUUGUCGUCAGCUCGUGCCGUGAGGUGUUGGGUUAAGUCCCGUAACGAGCGCAACCCCUAUCUUUAGUUGCCAGCGGGUUAAGCCGGGGACUCUAAAGAAACUGCCAGCGCAAGCUGUGAGGAAGGUGGGGAUGACGUCAAAUCAUCACGGCCCUUACGUCCUGGGCCACACACGUGCUACAAUGGUGAAUACAAAGGGCAGCUACCGUGCGAGCGGAUGCUAAUCUCGAAAGUUCAUCUCAGUUCGGAUCGGAGU
rnacentral:rRNA from 1 species